UAAACUAGAAAAAACCGUAGAUUUACCGGACUGAUAUCAAUAUGACAUGAUGAAGAUGUAUACUGCACUGUGCAGUAGUCUCGCGAACAGCCGUGCAGUACAGACAACUAGCUAGCCUCUUUCAAGUAAGUAAGUUUUCGGUAUACCAAGUUUUCAAUAUUAAACGUACCCCUGUAAUAAUACCAACAAAAUGUGUUUACACAUGACAUAAUCAUUAUUUCUACCCACUCAGACGAUAAUUCCUAAUUCGUUAAGAUUUACAUCUUUAAUCGAUCGCUAGCGCUACGGGGCUCGUUGCAUGUUAAUGUUGUGACAUGCAUUGUUUAUUUUCAUUCAACAUCCAGUGGAAGUUAUUGUUAUGGGUAAUGUUUAGGAAAUGAGUAAUUAUAGUACAUCCCUAUAUAGCUACCUUUCACCAUGUGGAAAUGAAAUGCUUGCUAUGCUUACCUUGGUGUAGGGGCUGGACCUCUACUGCAUACAAUGUGUAAAUGUAAAAUGCAUAUUUUCCCCAUUAUACAUGUCGUGCAUAGUUAACGACAUCAGGUAACAUGUUCUACCUACUCACCAGCCAACCUGGAACCAUCUACCGUCUGUUGUUGCAUUCAGGCUUCUUAGAAUGUUCAUUGUUGCUAUGCAAUGGAAAGAGUCCGCCGAUUAUUUACUUCAACGGCUAAAAUGAAUCAUCUUAUACUAAUGAGGUUUAAGAGUUGGUAUAUAAGCACUGACGUUAUAGGCUCAAUCCAUCAACUCAUCAGCAAGCCAACAAUUCAGCAACAGCUAAAACAAAAUCUCAUCCUUCAAACUACUUACCAAAAGAAAAUGAAUUCCAACACAAUCCUCAUCCUCAAUGUCACCGUCAUCUUGGGCCUGGCAUACCUGCUUGCAUCAGCAACACCUAUACCUAGAGCACCUAGACAGGCAUCUACGUCAACACCUAUACCUACAGAUGCACCUACAUGUCAGGAUGCUGCGCCGAAAAAUUGCUCUGCAGAAGAUGCGAAUAUUAAAAUCAUGUGCGAUGCUGUCUUCUACCGGGACUUGAUCAGUAGCUCCGGCGAUUAUGAAGCUAUGAGCGAAUACCUUGACACACUUCUUGUUCUUAUUAUGGAGAAACAAUUCCAAAAGUUUGAUUGCCUAUGUGAUAAAGAUCUCGAUGGCUUCAGGCAAGAGUGCCUCAAACUUUUCUAUCCCACCAGCUGCAACUGAGACUAUACCCAUAACAUUUUCAACAACCACCAUUACUUGAACAUUUUUAAACCUCCAAACCACCAUCAUUUUUAAUUUAAACUGCCAAACCACCGGUUACUUUUUAAUUUGUAGUCACCAAGUCAUGUACACGUACAAUCAUGCAAAUUGUCAUUAAAACAUUGUAUCAAAUUGAAAAUGAAUUUUCCACUUAUA